rnacentral:rRNA from 1 species
UACGAAGGUCCCAAGCGUUAUCCGGAUUUAUUGGGUUUAAAGGGUGCGUAGGCGGGCUAUUAAGUCAGUGGUGAAAGCCCCAAGCUUAACUUGGGAACUGCCAUUGAUACUGAUGGUCUUGAGUACAUUUGAGGUGGGCGGAAUGUGUCAUGUAGCGGUGAAAUGCUUAGAUAUGACACAGAACACCGAUUGCGAAGGCAGCUCACUAAACUGUAACUGACGCUGAGGCACGAAAGCGUGGGGAGCAAACAUG